rnacentral:rRNA from 1 species
GUGGGGAAUAUUGGACAAUGGGCGCAAGCCUGAUCCAGCCAUGCCGCGUGAGUGAUGAAGGCCCUAGGGUUGUAAAGCUCUUUCACCGGUGAAGAUAAUGACGGUAACCGGAGAAGAAGCCCCGGCUAACUUCGUGCCAGCAGCCGCGGUAAUACGAAGGGGGCUAGCGUUGUUCGGAAUUACUGGGCGUAAAGCGCACGUAGGCGGAUAUUUAAGUUAGGGGUGAAAUCCCAGGGCUCAACCCUGGAACUGCCUCUAAUACUGGGUAUCUCGAGUCCGAGAGAGGUGAGUGGAAUUCCGAGUGUAGAGGUGAAAUUCGUAGAUAUUCGGAGGAACACCAGUGGCGAAGGCGGCUCACUGGCUCGGUACUGACGCUGAGGUGCGAAAGCGUGGGGAGCAAACAGGAUUAGAAACCCGGGUAGUCC